rnacentral:lncRNA from 1 species
CCCAGUUGCCCUCAUAGAGUCAAAGAGGCAAGCCAUAUACCCAAACAUAAAACGUCCAUUUCCUUGGUGGUGCUUGUUUUCUUUUUCCAGCGACAUCAAAGAGGCAACAACCUCUUACCCCUAAAUUUUCGGCAAGAUGAAAGAGGCAAUAGCCUCUUCUUCUUCGUGUUUUGUUGGAAGAAUCAAGAGGAGCUGUCGGAGCAGCCCCCAUCGACUGAUCUGCCAUCACCGGUCCCAAUCUGCUCCACCCUUCUUUCCCUUUUGGCCCUUUCGUGUUUCUUUUUGCUAAUACUCCACCGGACCACCUCGUUUACUGCCUCUGUUCGUGUUUCUUUUUUCAUUUCCAGGGAUUAAAUUGAUGGCUAUGAAAAAUGAGGAUGUGAGGGUGGUGUUGGUUCAAGGGUAACGGUGGAAUCAAUUUCACACUUUCUCAGUCAGCAAGUUUUUUUGUGAUGAGCGAGUAAGACAUUGGGGACCCAAUCAGAUGCAAAACUCAAGCAUAUCAAACAUAUAGAGUUGAGCGAGUCAGACAUUUUUGUCUGACCUGACUCAGUUAGAUCAAAAUCAAACAUGACCUAAAUUACACGAAUGGUCCCUGUGGUUUGGGGUAAUUUACAUGUUUGGUCCCUAACUUAUUUUUUUAGACAAAAUUGCAAAAAUGGUCCCCGUGGUUUCUUAUUUUAUGUGGUUAUGGUCAAAACGUUUGAAAAGUUGUAGAUUUGGUCCUUUUCAACAAGUUUUAUUGUGGUUUUGGUCAUUCAUCCGUUAAGUUUAACUGGUUGGCUGUUAACUUUUUUAAAAUGACAAUUUUACCCUCAGAGACCAUUUUCGCAGUUU